AUUCUCUCAUUCUCCCUCUCUCUCUCUUUCUCUCAUUUUCUCUCUCUCAAGGAUUUAUUCUAUAAAUUCUCUUAUCCUCUCUCAUUCUCUCAUUCUCUCUCUCUCUCUCUCUCUCUCUCUCUCUCUAAGAUCCUUCGCCGUUCAUCAUCCGUUUCCAAAAACGGAGGGUACUGCGUGGAUCAGAAGAGGAAACUCUACACUUUUAGUAGAUCGGAUCAUCGUUUCGGAGAGUUUCGGGUUUUCCCAAGAAUCGAGGUUUUCAGGAUCUCGAGUUGUCGUUUUGGACCGUUUUCGUACGAAGUUUCAUUUCGAAUAUAAGGUCCAUCCGUGCGUCGGUCCUAGUAGAUAAAAGGACUAGGGAGGUUAUUUUGGUUAGCUUACGUAAGCAUCUAAAUUUUUGUACUAAACUUGAUGAAAGUCCUUUUUGGAGGGUUGUAAUAUGACGAUUACUCUAAGUCCGAAUGUAUGUAAAUUAUGGAUGUAUUAGUGAACUCUGGUAUAAGGCUAGUAGUAAUCCCAAUGGAUGUUUAUGUUUUUCCGCGA